GGUGCGGUCAGUGGCGGCGGGGGGGUAGGGAAACACGCGGACGGCGACAGGCGCCGGCGGGACCGGCCCUUUCAUGGCCGCGCCUCUCCCGCCCCUCAGGAAGGCCCCCACCGGCGCGCACGGCGGCAGCUACAGAGGGGCCUCGGCAGGAGGGGCCGGGGGGGAUCGGCUGCGCCCCGCCACGCACUGCUUCAGCCCGCAGGGAAAGCCCCCCCCUCCCCCGGGCACCACAUAGUGCAUCUGCUCUAGGCUAAACAAGUACUGGUUUAUCUGUACGGUGGGGGUUUGUUCACUGUUUCUCACAGCUCAUACAGUACGUGGCACCCCAGGAAUGCCGUGCAGAGAUUUGGGAUAUGGAUUAGGACGCAAGUGGAGAAGGCAGCAACUCCGAUGCCAGGACAGAGCCAGGAGUCUCAUAGCACCUGUGGCGAGGAACCCUAACCCCGGGACAAYUUUAGAACUCUCAUAGUAGUACAAGAUGUGCUCCAAAAAGGUGCGAGCAGUGAAGAUGAAGAGGGGGCGGCUCCCACCAGAGGCUGCUUUCGGAGGAUUACGUGGGCAAAUUUGCACAGGGAGCUGCUGAAGGAGAGAGGACAACAAGGGCAUCCCGAGCAUCCCUCGAGGAAUGAGAUCGCAGCACCCGGCAGGGACCAGGGAGGAGCCAGACAGAGCCGGGCACCGAGCAUGGCUCCGAGACAAUACCGAGGGAAAAGCUCUCAUGCCAAGGGGCAGUACCUGAGCAGGCAGAGCAGCAUGUGGAGCCCCAGGGGGAAACAUUCAGCUUUCCCCUUUCAACUUGUCAGUCUCUUAAACAGAGCCCCCUGUCUCUCCACAGUACCCUUAGAAAAGAGGGUGGAUAUUGGGAGAAAAGGGGUUUAAGUUGAGGGAAAAAACUUCCAUGAUUGUGUUCAAAUUGACGGGGAGUGCUCUUCCCCUGUAAUUUUAAUGGUAUCAGCUGAAGGAAACCCUGCCUUUUCCAUGCUGUCGGGGGUAUCGCUUGACGGGGUAUCCCCAUUUCUCAUUACUUCCAAGUUCAAAUGCACGGGGAAAACCUUGACCAUGCUACUUGGUGGGUUUAAAAUAAGGGUAACUCCCUCAUUUUCAUCAUCCUAAGGUUUAAACUGGGGGGUGGAAGCCCAGUCGGCCUCCCUUUUUAUAGGUUUGAAGGGAGGGAAAAUCCCCGUUUUUACAUCAUUUGAGAGAUUGGAAAUGAGGAACCCCCCUCUUUUCCCAGUAUUUUAGAGGACUAAAUUAAAGGGGAAAAGGGGAUUAAAUCAAAGGGGAGAAGCCCUUUAUUUGCCRUUGUAUUGGUUUAAGUGGAGGUAAACACUUGCCCUGUUCCCUCAUUUUAAGAGGUUCAGUUGAAGGAAGCUCUGCCUUUUUCAGCAUUUUAAGAGUUUAAAUCUGCAUUUCAAGGUGCUUCUACCCAUGGCCCGGCCACAAAUAUCUGGCAUGGGAGUGAGCCGGCAUAUCCAUAACCCUAAUGCUGCACAAUGUUGCUCACCACGGUUUGAGUGCAGAGCGCAUUGGGCUGGGAUUUUGUUGGACAGGACAAAUUUUUUGGAGGCUCCCAGAAACCAUGUUCCCACGCGGUGCUGCCGGUGUGCGCCAACGGCCAUGGCGGUGGGGAUGAGAGCAAGAGUGGUUUUGUGGGUGAGCUGAAGGAAGUGUGUGUGCUGGGUGAGUGUUAUGUUCUCUGCGUGCUGCUUUUGAUUUGGGCUACCUCUCACAAUAACACAAAAUGUCAUCGAUUAUCCAGAAACAGGAAAAUUGUUCUCUUGUGUUGAUAUGUAUUUGCCUUGUAUUCCCCUGUGCUGCUCUGUAUUUGUGUUGCUGUCACAUUCCCGUGGAUUCCUCUGGAUGGAAAUUGUACUUUGACCAGCGUGUCUGUGGAUUGUAUUUGUAAUUUUCUUUCUACACACUGUUGUUUCCAUGUGUUUCACUGAAGUGCAAAUAAAUUAAAAAUUCAUCCAAUGAGGUUCAACAAGCCCAAAUAAGGACAACCCCACCUCCCCACCCCCCCCACCUUUUGGCUCCUGUCUCUUUCUCACUCUGUCUAUUGCAUGGAUUCCCACUUUUCAGUUUCUGUCUCUGCUUCUCUUUUUCUGUUAUUCAGAGUCUCUUUCCUUUUCACUCUGUCCAACUCUGUUUUCUGUUUCUCAGUUUCUAUAACUCUAGUUUAUUUUCUAGUUCUCUGUACCUCUAAUUCCUAUUUGUCUCUGAUUUACAAGCAAAAUCUCUCAGAGAAAUGCUUUCUCUAAGAUGCCCCCACAGUCUGCUGCGUUGCGCCUUCCAAAGCGUGCGAACAACCGAGAUCUCACCCUGGAAAGCAGCACUUUUGCAAAGAGGCUGUUGCCAUCUAGCCAGCCCCGUGCCUGCUUCCAGGCAGCCGAGAUGAAGAACGAGAGAGAGUUUACAAGAAGAAUGUCUCAGACAAAUGCUUUCUCUAAGGUSCCCCCUCAGUCUGCUGCRUUGCACCUUCCAAAGCGUGCGAAGAAGUGAGAUCUUGCCCUGUAAAGCAGCACUUUUGCUUCCACGGUGUGCUGCCUUUCGCUGUACAUAGCGUGCAGAAGCGGUUGCUCGCAGUGAGAGGAGCAAUUUUUGAAAGAGCCUUUGCCCUUGUUCCCCACGCGUGAGCGCUUGCAGGCAAGCGAGAUAGAGCAAAUUAGAGUGUUUGCAAACAAGAAUUCUCGUGGGAAUACUUGGUGCAAGGUGCUUCCACGGUGUGCUGCCUUUUGCUGUACAUAGCAUGCAGAAGCGGUUGCUCGUAGUGAGAUAAGCACUUUUUGAAAAAGCCUUUGGCUGGUUUGAGCACAUAAACACCAGUACUUUUUUUUACCGAGAUAUGUGAAAAGGAUAUAAGCAAGGGAAUGGUUUACAGAAUUUCACUUCAGAAAAUUUGCAGUUGCAGAACAUUUAUUUCAAACCUCAUCUUAAAGGAAGCAUACACAAGGAAUAUGUVCAAAGAGGGAUGGUUAAAAACCCAGGAUGACAGAUUUUCACAUGUAGUUGCGAUUGUGACAAAGAAUUACUUCUGUGAAAAGACCCUUCUAAAACAUCAUGAUA